GUUUACGGUCAUACCACUCUGAAUCUGCCCGAUCUUGUUUGAUCUCGGAAGCUAAGCAGAGUCGGGCCUGGUUAGUAUUUGUGAGACCACCUAGGAAUACCAGGUACUGUAGGCG
rnacentral:rRNA from 1 species